AGGAGUACCGCCCGGUUUGGUCUGUGCGUGUGCGCACCAGAGUCCCGGGUCACACACACUCCUCGAAGAGAGCUGGAGCAGCGUUAAGUUUGCAGCCAACCUCGACCGAGAUUUCAAUUGAGCAGGAGGUCACAUUGCCCACCACACCAAGGCGGAUCAUGCUAGGAAGAAGUUUGACGUCUUCCACCCAUUGGAUGGUCAGCAUUGAGGGGAAGGUCCUCUUUGAAGCUAACCAACUUAACGCCAGUGCUUUUGUCGUCUUCUUUGGCUCCUUUUAUGCGUUCAAUCUUGAAUAUCAAGAGUCAGCAUCUACUACACUGGAGUUGGUACAAGGAUCAACCCAGAUGAGGGAAGCAAGUGCAUGGCCGAAGUGGGUACAA